UACAGAGGUCUCAAGCGUUGUUCGGAUUCAUUGGGCGUAAAGGGUGCGUAGGCGGCGCGGUAAGUCGGGUGUGAAAUCUCGGAGCUUAACUCCGAAACUGCAUUCGAUACUGCCGUGCUUGAGGACUGGAGAGGAGACUGGAAUUUACGGUGUAGCGGUGGAAUGCGCAGAUAUCAGGAGGAACACCGGUGGCGAAGGCGGGUCUCUGGGCAACAACUGACGCUGAGGAGCGAAAGCGUGGGGAGCGAACAGG
rnacentral:rRNA from 1 species